rnacentral:rRNA from 1 species
CACUAUGCUCAACCCUUAACAUAGACAAUACAAACACAAUAUUGUCCGCCAGAGAACUACAAGUGAAAAACUAGAAACUCCAAGGACUUGGCGGUGCCCCAUAUCAACCUAGAGGAGCCUGUCCUAUAAUCGAUAAUCCACGUUGUACCUUACCAUUUCUAGNCAACNCAGCCUAUAUACCGCCGUCGAAAGCCUACCUUUUGAAAGAAUCAAAGUAAGCACAAUAGUCAAUAACUAUAACGUCAGGUCAAGGUGUAGCACAUGAAAUGGAAGAGAUGGGCUACAUUUUCUACCUUAGAAAACACGAACAGCACAAUGAAACCUGUACUUAAAGGCGGAUUUAGUAGUAAGACAAAAA